rnacentral:rRNA from 1 species
CGGCGAGGUGAUAUGAACCUUUGACCCGGCGAUGUCCGAAUGGGGAAACCCAGUGUGUUCCGACACACUAUCGUUAACUGAAUACAUAGGUUAACGAGGCGAACCGGGGGAACUGAAACAUCUAAGUACCCCGAGGAAAAGAAAUCAACCGAGAUUCCCCCAGUAGCGGCGAGCGAACGGGGAGCAGCCCAGAGUCUGAAUCAGCUUGUGUGUUAGUGGAAGCGUCUGGAAAGUCGCACGGUACAGGGUGACAGUCCCGUACACGAAAGCACACAGGUUGUGAACUCGAAGAGUAGGGCGGGACACGUGGUAUCCUGUCUGAAUAUGGGGGGACCAUCCUCCAAGGCUAAAUACUCCUGACUGACCGAUAGUGAACCAGUACCGUGAGGGAAAGGCGAAAAGAACCCCGGCGAGGGGAGUGAAAAAGAACCUGAAACCGUGUACGUACAAGCAGUGGGAGCACCUUCGUGGUGUGACUGCGUACCUUUUGUAUAAUGGGUCAGCGACUUAUAUUCUGUAGCAAGGUUAACCGUAUAGGGGAGCCGAAGGGAAACCGAGUCUUAACUGGGCGUUAAGUUGCAGGGUAUAGACCCGAAACCCGGUGAUCUAGCCAUGGGCAGGUUGAAGGUUGGGUAACACUAACUGGAGGACCGAACCGACUAAUGUUGAAAAAUUAGCGGAUGACUUGUGGCUGGGGGUGAAAGGCCAAUCAAACCGGGAGAUAGCUGGUUCUCCCCGAAAGCUAUUUAGGUAGCGCCUCGUGAACUCAUCUUCGGGGGUAGAGCACUGUUUCGGCUAGGGGGCCAUCCCGGCUUACCAACCCGAUGCAAACUACGAAUACCGAAGAAUGUUAUCACGGGAGACACACGGCGGGUGCUAACGUCCGUCGUGAAGAGGGAAACAACCCAGACCGCCAGCUAAGGUCCCAAAGUCAUGGUUAAGUGGGAAACGAUGUGGGAAGGCACAGACAGCCAGGAUGUUGGCUUAGAAGCAGCCAUCAUUUAAAGAAAGCGUAAUAGCUCACUGGUCGAGUCGGCCUGCGCGGAAGAUGUAACGGGGCUAAACCAUGCACCGAAGCUGCGGCAGCGACGCUUAUGCGUUGUUGGGUAGGGGAGCGUUCUGUAAGCCGUUGAAGGUGGCCUGUGAGGGUUGCUGGAGGUAUCAGAAGUGCGAAUGCUGACAUAAGUAACGAUAAAGCGGGUGAAAAGCCCGCUCGCCGGAAGACCAAGGGUUCCUGUCCAACGUUAAUCGGGGCAGGGUGAGUCGACCCCUAAGGCGAGGCCGAAAGGCGUAGUCGAUGGGAAACAGGUUAAUAUUCCUGUACUUGGUGUUACUGCGAAGGGGGGACGGAGAAGGCUAUGUUAGCCGGGCGACGGUUGUCCCGGUUUAAGCAUGUAGGCGGAACGAUUAGGUAAAUCCGGUCGUUUUUUAACGCUGAGGUGUGAUGACGAGGCACUACGGUGCUGAAGUAACAAAUGCCCUGCUUCCAGGAAAAGCCUCUAAGCAUCAGGUAACAUCAAAUCGUACCCCAAACCGACACAGGUGGUCAGGUAGAGAAUACCAAGGCGCUUGAGAGAACUCGGGUGAAGGAACUAGGCAAAAUGGUGCCGUAACUUCGGGAGAAGGCACGCUGAUAUGUAGGUGAAGCCCCUGCGGGUGGAGCUGAAAUCAGUCGAAGAUACCAGCUGGCUGCAACUGUUUAUUAAAAACACAGCACUGUGCAAACACGAAAGUGGACGUAUACGGUGUGACGCCUGCCCGGUGCCGGAAGGUUAAUUGAUGGGGUUAGCGGCAACGCGAAGCUCUUGAUCGAAGCCCCGGUAAACGGCGGCCGUAACUAUAACGGUCCUAAGGUAGCGAAAUUCCUUGUCGGGUAAGUUCCGACCUGCACGAAUGGCGUAAUGAUGGCCAGGCUGUCUCCACCCGAGACUCAGUGAAAUUGAACUCGCUGUGAAGAUGCAGUGUACCCGCGGCAAGACGGAAAGACCCCGUGAACCUUUACUAUAGCUUGACACUGAACACUGGUCCUUGAUGUGUAGGAUAGGUGGGAGGCUUUGAAGCGUGGACGCCAGUCUGCGUGGAGCCGUCCUUGAAAUACCACCCUUUAAUGGCUGGUGUUCUAACGUAGACCCGUAAUCCGGGUUGCGGACAGUGUCUGGUGGGUAGUUUGACUGGGGCGGUCUCCUCCCAAAGAGUAACGGAGGAGCACGAAGGUUAGCUAAUCCUGGUCGGACAUCAGGAGGUUAGUGCAAUGGCAUAAGCUAGCUUGACUGCGAGAGUGACGGCUCGAGCAGGUGCGAAAGCAGGUCAUAGUGAUCCGGUGGUUCUGAAUGGAAGGGCCAUCGCUCAACGGAUAAAAGGUACUCCGGGGAUAACAGGCUGAUACCGCCCAAGAGUUCAUAUCGACGGCGGUGUUUGGCACCUCGAUGUCGGCUCAUCACAUCCUGGGGCUGAAGUAGGUCCCAAGGGUAUGGCUGUUCGCCAUUUAAAGUGGUACGCGAGCUGGGUUUAGAACGUCGUGAGACAGUUCGGUCCCUAUCUGCCGUGGGCGCUGGAGAAUUGAGGGGGGCUGCUCCUAGUACGAGAGGACCGGAGUGGACGCAUCACUGGUGUUCGGGUUGUCAUGCCAAUGGCACUGCCCGGUAGCUAAAUGCGGAAAAGAUAAGUGCUGAAAGCAUCUAAGCACGAAACUUGCCCCGAGAUGAGUUCUCCCUGAGACUUUAAGUCUCCUGAAGGAACGUUGAAGACGACGACGUUGAUAGGUCGGGUGUGUAAGCGCAGCGAUGCGUUGAGCUAACCGAUACUAAUGAACCGUGAGGCUUAACCUU